CCUUGAAUAACAAAGACACUCCUCUUGCUGUGAAAAUUGCACGUUUAGGGAUUACCUCCCAGGAGCCCAAAGGGCAGAUCUCUCUUUAGGUGAGGCCUUCUUACUACGCACUGUGGUGGUGCAGUUCGACUGGAUGAAACAGCCCUGCCAUGACUCACACAUCCCAAUGAGGACUCCUGCCUUAUAAGGAGGCACUUUGAAGGCUAUUAUUCCAAGGAGCCUGUCACCUCUCAAAGCAUUUUUAGAACUCCUGCUUUGAAUCAGUGCCAGUGUCAGGAUGGUGAAUCCUCACACCUCCUGGGAACAAUUAUUUUUGGAAACAAUGGAAGUCAUGGUGGCCAAGUUUGGAAAGUAUUCUUGGGGCUAGAGGUGGUGCUGCGCAGAGGAGGACCUUCAGGCUUUCAAGUGCUUGGACUUGGCCCAGCUCUGGGUGAGUGGCCCGCAUAGCCGUGCUGGACAUCACCACCAGGGGCUGGAGCCGCUUACCCAGAGAAGAUCCCCUCUCUCUGCCUGUCCCCUUUUGUUCGCCUGGGCACAGCCUGAGGCCGUGAGAUGGGAGAGUGUCAAGGGGCAAGAGACCACCCCUCCCCGCGGCUGGCCUCCCCCUCAGGCUGUGAUGAAGGAGCCGGAAUACCCUCAACAAGCCGGCAGCAAUGGCAACAGGCACACGACCACGAGGACCGAAAACUCCCCCGCCACUGUGAUUGCAACAACCACACGGUACGAUCACACAACGAACAACAGCAAUGAGUUGCUGGAGCAACCACACCAUCUGUACAACCAUGCAACGCCCACACACCACAGCGCCCUGCAGCAAUCACUGCGUCCGUGGCCAGUGAGCCAAUAUGUACCAUGCUCUGACUUAAGAGCGGGAAGGGAGGUGUGCGAAGCCUCCUGCCACAGAUCCGCGGAGGCCCAGGAGGCUGGAGAGCCUCUCGGGCCUCUGGGCGGGAAUGGGUUGGCAGGAAGUUG